rnacentral:rRNA from 1 species
GACGAACGCUGGCGGCGUGCUUAACACAUGCAAGUCGAGCGAUGCAGAUCCUUCGGGAGCGGCUUAGCGGCGCAAGGGUGAGUAACACGUGGGUAAACUGCCUCAUAGAGGGGAUGAGCCUUUCGAAAGGAAGAUUAAUACAGCAUAAGAUUGUAGCUUCCCAUGAAGUAGCAAUUAAAGGAGUAAUCCGCUAUGAAAUGGACCCGCGUCGCAUUAGCUAGUUAGUGAGGUAACGGCUCACCAAGGGGACGAUGCGUAGCCGCCCUGAGAGGGUGAUCGGCCACAUUGUGACUGAUACACGGCCCAGACUCCUACGGGAGGCAGCAGUGGGGAAUAUUGCACAAUGGGGGAAACCCUGAUGCAGCAACGCCGCGUGAGUGAUGACGGUCUUCGGAUUGUAAAGCUCUGUCUUCAGGGACGAUAAUGACGGUACCUGAGGAGGAAGCCACGGCUAACUACGUGCCAGCCGCCGCAGUAA